CGGACUGAUUGUUUAGCGAGAAGAAUUGACAAUUUUUUUUAAUUUUGGAAAAAACAGCGUUUAUACUGACUCGUAGAAGAAUUACCGGACUGUGUCGACCGAGGGAAGAAAUCAUACCUCGGGAAAAAUCCAGUGAAAGAAGGCAUGAAGACAUCAUCCUAGUCGUCAGUCAUGGCCGAUAAAAGGAAACUUCAAGGUGAAAUAGAUCGAUGUCUGAAAAAAGUAGCGGAAGGAGUAGAACAGUUUGAAGACAUUUUGGCAAA